rnacentral:rRNA from 1 species
UACGUAGGGGGGCUAGCGUUGUCCGGAAUCAUUGGGCGUAAAGAGCGUGUAGGCGGUCCGGUAAGUCCGCUGUGAAAGUCGGGGGGCUCAACCCUCGAAUGCCGGUGGAUACUGUCGGGCUAGAGUGCGGAAGAGGCGAGUGGAAUUCCUGGUGUAGCGGUGAAAUGCGCAGAUAUCAGGAGGAACACCUAUUGCGAAGGCAGCUCGCUGGGACGUAACUGACGCUGAGACGCGAAAGCGUGGGGAGCAAACAGG